UUUAUUGGAGAGUUUGAUCCUGGCUCAGGACGAACGCUGGCGGCGUGCCUAACACAUGCAAGUCGAACGGAGAAUUUUAUUUCGGUAGAAUUCUUAGUGGCGAACGGGUGAGUAACGCGUAGGCAACCUGCCCUUUAGACGGGGACAACAUUUCGAAAGGAGUGCUAAUACCGGAUGUGAUCAUCGUGCCGCAUGGCAGGAUGAAGAAAGAUGGCCUCUACAAGUAAGCUAUCGCUAAAGGAUGGGCCUGCGUCUGAUUAGCUAGUUGGUAGUGUAACGGACUACCAAGGCGAUGAUCAGUAGCCGGUCUGAGAGGAUGAACGGCCACAUUGGGACUGAGACACGGCCCAAACUCCUACGGGAGGCAGCAGUGGGGAAUCUUCCGCAAUGGACGAAAGUCUGACGGAGCAACGCCGCGUGAGUGAUGAAGGAUUUCGGUCUGUAAAGCUCUGUUGUUUAUGACGAACGUGCAGUGUGUGAACAAUGCAUUGCAAUGACGGUAGUAAACGAGGAAGCCACGGCUAACUACGUGCCAGCAGCCGCGGUAAUACGUAGGUGGCGAGCGUUGUCCGGAAUUAUUGGGCGUAAAGAGCAUGUAGGCGGCUUAAUAAGUCGAGCGUGAAAAUGCGGGGCUCAACCCCGUAUGGCGCUGGAAACU
rnacentral:rRNA from 1 species